rnacentral:rRNA from 1 species
UGGGGAAUUUUGGACAAUGGGCGAAAGCCUGAUCCAGCAAUGCCGCGUGUGUGAAGAAGGCCUUCGGGUUGUAAAGCACUUUUGUCCGGAAAGAAAUCCUUGGCUCUAAUACAGUCGGGGGAUGACGGUACCGGAAGAAUAAGCACCGGCUAACUACGUGCCAGCAGCCGCGGUAAUACGUAGGGUGCAAGCGUUAAUCGGAAUUACUGGGCGUAAAGCGUGCGCAGGCGGUUUGCUAAGACCGAUGUGAAAUCCCCGGGCUCAACCUGGGAACUGCAUUGGUGACUGGCAGGCUAGAGUAUGGCAGAGGGGGGUAGAAUUCCACGUGUAGCAGUGAAAUGCGUAGAGAUGUGGAGGAAUACCGAUGGCGAAGGCAGCCCCCUGGGCCAAUACUGACGCUCAUGCACGAAAGCGUGGGGAGCAAACAGGAUUAGAUACCCUGGUAGUCCACGCCCUAAACGAUGUCAACUAGUUGUUGGGGACUUCAUUUCCUUAGUAACGUAGCUAACGCGUGAAGUUGACCGCCUGGGGAGUACGGUCGCAAGAUUAAAACUUAAAUGAAUUGACGGGGUCAUAGCUG